CACCUGUUGACUGCCUCAUACAUUGGAUCUGAAUAUUGGGUUCCUGCAUCUCCGCUGUACAGAAAGUCAAAGGGAUCGUAUUCCGCAUAGUAGGAUGUGCUGUCGGAGGCGCUGUCGUUGCCUGCAAGUAUUAUGCAAAUAUGCUCGAGAGCCGAGGCCUACUACUGCGAGAAUCCGGGCACAACACAUCGUGUGGCCAAAAAUAAAUGAGACGGCCCCUAAAGUCGCAGCAAUGCGAUGUGGAUCGGUUGGACUAGCACCACUGGCAAUGCGAGAACGCUUCGCAAGUCUACGCUAACAAAUCCGAUGCGAGUGCCAUCGCUAAAAGCUAAUUGUGAUUGCUGUCAUUCGUCGCCCACGCUCACCCAGUACAGUGGAACCAAUACCAUUCGAUAUUUGUUUGAAGAAAUGGGCGCAAAUUAAAAGUAGAAAUAUAAUAUGAUAACAAGAA